rnacentral:rRNA from 1 species
CUCAGGACGAACGCUGGCGGCGUGCUUAACACAUGCAAGUCGAACGGGGAUAUUCAGAUGAGAGCUUCGGCAGGAUUCAGGGAUAUUCCAGUGGCGGACGGGUGAGUAACGCGUGAACAAUCUGUCCCAGACAGGGGGAUAACACUUGGAAACAGGUGCUAAUACCGCAUGAGACCACGGUGUCGCAUGGCACAGGGGUAAAAGGAGUAAUCCGGUUUGGGGUGAGUUCGCGUCCGAUUAGCCAGUUGGCGGGGUAACGGCCCACCAAAGCGACGAUCGGUAGCCGACCUGAGAGGGUGAUCGGCCACAUUGGAACUGAGAGACGGUCCAAACUCCUACGGGAGGCAGCAGUGGGGAAUAUUGGGCAAUGGGCGAAAGCCCUGACCCAGCAACGCCGCGUGAGUGAAGAAGGCCUUCGGGUUGUAAAGCUCUGUUAUGUGGGACGAAGGAAGUGACGGUACCACAUAAGGAAGCCCCGGCUAACUACGUGCCAGCCGCCGC